UUGGACCAUAUCAAACUUUCACAAGGACAGUUACGAAUGUUGGUGAGCCACAUUCAUCAUAUGCUGUCAAGGUUGUUACACCACGAGGAGUCAGCAUUAUCGUAAAACCCAACCGGCUUUAUUUUACAAAGGUGAACCAGAAACUGUCAUAUUCUGUGACAUUCAGCAGCAGCAACAAGAAGAUGAACAACACAUUUGCUCAAGGGUAUUUGGAAUGGGCAUCCAACAAAUAUAAUGUUAGGAGUGUAAUAUCUAUUAAAUUUGUCUAAGUUAUGGAUGUGGAUCAGGGUGCAAUUAUUGACUUAAAUGGGUAAUUGUGAUUUUGCAAUCAUAUAACUUCCAAGAAUUCUUGAGCAUGUUACGGAAAUCAUCAACAUUUCUGCUUUCUUUUUCAUAAUAGGAGAACCAAAAAGGUAAUCAAUCAACGGAAUAAAGGUUACUUAAGCCAAAUAUUCAAUAGAUUCUACUGCCAGUUGGCUCAUGUCAAUUGCAAAACUUGAAUGACAGUAAACUAAUGAACCUGAGACCAAAGACAUAAUUACUAUAUAUAGAACAAGGUUAUUCUUCUGCUAUACAACAUUUUAUUAAUGAAUCAAAGGAUUGCAUUGAACUGUAUAUUUCCUUAUUUAAAAUUUCCCAGCUAGAUUAGCAUCUAGGUGUAUAGGAAAUGAUUUACCGUUAAUAGAGGAUCAAAACCAUGUAUCCACGCUAAUGAGCAUGAUGAUUUCUGAAACUUUCUAUGUACUUGGUCAAUAUCCAGUGUUUAUCUGCCAAAUGGCAGAAAAUCAAAGUUUGAUAGCUGUCAUGCGCAUCAUUUGACAACAACCUUCCUUCGAGUCAACGAAUUCCCAUAAUCCUGAAGCAAUUUGAUGUCAGAUAUCAGUUAAUGGAAGUGCAUGUUUGGCUAAGCAUAAAAACUAGUUAAAGUUACUCAGAAGUAACUAUUAGNNNNN
rnacentral:lncRNA from 1 species